UUUCUGUCUUUAUAUUGUUUGUUUUCUCACAUUUUCACGCUCAAUAAAACCCACAAUAAUUCGACUUUGGUUAAUUUUGUGUAAUUUGGCUUUUUUGUGUGUGUGCGCUGUUUGAUUUAGCAUGUCGCUCUUUCCACUGCCAGCACAAUCAGGCUGUUUAAAGCAUGUACACUCGCAGAGGUAAGCCAAGUUCCACUUGACAUGCAGCCUGCUGGGAAGUUGCCCACCACCCGUGUCCCAAAGCCAGACGUCACAAUUGAGUUUGCAGAGGGCUCAGCACCCUUUGACGUCCCGUGUGCCGUCAUGGAGCGCCGGGAUUUGACGUCGCACAAGAAUGGGCGCCAAAGAAAGCUAGCGGGUCUCUCCCCCCGUCCCGAGGCCAUGGUGGACGCCUCUGAGACCGGGCUCCUGGAGGAGGAGGAGGCGGACUUCCUCGCCGCGGGGUCGGACUCGGAGGACCGGAGGCCUCCUGGUAUUCGGUCGGAGCUGGGAAACGUCUUGCUUCUCCUUUUCCUUUACGUGCUGCAAGGGAUUCCUCUGGGACUGGCCGGCAGCAUUCCGUUGAUCCUCCAGAGUCAGAGCGUCAGCUACAGGGACCAGGCCAUCUUCAGCUUUGUCUUCUGGCCAUUUAGCCUCAAGCUGGUGUGGGCGCCGCUUGUGGACGCGCUUUACUUCAGAAAGUUUGGUCGGAGGAAGUCCUGGCUGGUACCCACACAGUACCUGCUGGGCCUCUUCAUGAUUUACUUGUCCGUGAGAGUGGAGUCCCUGCUGCAGGGGGAAGGAGGCCCCGACAUACUGGCGCUCACUGCCGUCUUCUUCAUGCUGGCCUUUCUCGCGGCCACACAGGACAUCGCGGUGGACGGCUGGGCCCUCACCAUGCUGUCCAGAGAGAACGUGGGCUACGCGUCCACCUGCAACUCGGUGGGUCAGACAGCAGGUUACUUCCUGGGCAACGUGCUCUUCCUGGCGCUGGAGUCUGCCGACUUCUGCAAUAAAUACCUGCGCGCGCAGCCCCAGGACACGGGCAUCGUCACCUUGUCAGACUUCCUGUUCUUCUGGGGCGUGGUCUUCCUGGUGUCCACCACGCUGGUGGCCGUGAUGAAAAGUGAGCGCGUGCGUUUCAGAGGCAGGCGGCGAGUGGAGGAGGAGACGCAGGGCGUGUGCGAGACCUACAGGCUGCUGAUCAGCAUCAUCAAGAGGCCCGCCGUCUUCACCUUCUGUGCGCUGCUCCUCACCGCCAAAGUGGGCUUCUCGGCGGCCGACGCAGUGACGGGUCUGAAGCUGGUGGAGGCCGGCGUUCCCAAGGCGCAGUUAGCACUGCUGGCGGUGCCCAUGGUGCCUCUGCAGAUCCUCCUGCCGCUCCUCAUCAGUAAAUACACGGCAGGACCCAGGCCGCUGGACGUCUUCUACAAGGCCUUCCCCUUCAGGUUGAUCAUUGGUCUGGAAUUUGCUCUGCUGGUCUGGUGGACGCCCAGUGUGAGAGGAGAGGAAGGCUUUCCUGUUUACUACUACGGCGUGGUGCUGCUCAGCUACGCCCUGCAUCAGGUGACCUUGUACAGCAUGUACGUGGCCUGCAUGGCCUUCCACGCCAAGGUCAGCGACCCUCUGAUCGGCGGCACCUACAUGACGCUGCUGAACACGCUCACCAACCUGGGAGGUAACUGGCCCUCCACUGUGGCCCUCUGGCUGGUGGACCCGCUCACCUGGAGGGAGUGUCGAGGUGCAGCCGGCCUCACCUGCUCCUCCCCCGAGGCGGCCAAGAUGUGCGUCAAGGAGGGCGGGGCUUGCGUCACAACCUUGGACGGUUACUACGUGGAGUCGUUGGCGUGCGUCUUGAUGGGCGUGGCCUGGUGGGUGUGGUUUGGGAAGAAGAUGAGAAGGUUGCAGGAUCACAGUCCUGCGGCUUGGAGGUGCAGAGUCUGAAUCCUCCUCCGAGUCUCACAGGACUAGAACCUUCUUUCAAUCGCCACAACAUCAGAACUAUUUAGUCUCACAGGACUAGAACCUUCUUUCAGUCGCCACAUGACAACAUCAGAACUAUUUAGUCUCACAGGACUAGAACCUUCUUUCAGUCGCCA